UUUUUGCUCUGUUCUGCUGCCAUCGCUGCUGCCUCUGCCUCCCUCGCUCGUGCCUCUGCCUCCCUCGUUGCUGCCGCUGCCUCCCUCGCUGCUGCUGCUGCCUCCCUCUUUGCUGCCUCCGCUCUAAGUUGUUGCUGGAGUUCUUCAUAUUUUCGUUGAACCUCGAAAAUUUGUUCAACCGUGUUCGCUUGCAUCUGAGCUAUCUGGUCUCUUA
rnacentral:lncRNA from 1 species